rnacentral:rRNA from 1 species
GACGAACGCUGCUUUGCGUGCUUAACACAUGCAAGUCGAACGGAAAGGCCCUGCUUUUGUGGGGUGCUCGAGUGGCGAACGGGUGAGUAACACGUGAGUAACCUGCCCUUGACUUUGGGAUAACUUCAGGAAACUGGGGCUAAUACCGGAUAGGAGCUCCUGCUGCAUGGUGGGGGUUGGAAAGUUUCGGCGGUUGGGGAUGGACUCGCGGCUUAUCGGCUUGUUGGUGGGGUAGUGGCUUACCAAGGCUUUGACGGGUAGCCGGCCUGAGAGGGUGACCGGCCACAUUGGGACUGAGAUACGGCCCAGACUCCUACGGGAGGCAGCAGUGGGGAAUAUUGCACAAUGGGCGGAAGCCUGAUGCAGCAACGCCGCGUGCGGGAUGACGGCCUUCGGGUUGUAAACCGCUUUCGCCUGUGACGAAGCGUGAGUGACGGUAAUGGGUAAAGAAGCACCGGCUAACUACGUGCCAGCAGCCGCGGUGAUACGUAGGGUGCGAGCGUUGUCCGGAUUUAUUGGGCGUAAAGGGCUCGUAGGUGGUUGAUCGCGUCGGAAGUGUAAUCUUGGGGCUUAACCCUGAGCGUGCUUUCGAUACGGGUUGACUUGAGGAAGGUAGGGGAGAAUGGAAUUCCUGGUGGAGCGGUGGAAUGCGCAGAUAUCAGGAGGAACACCAGUGGCGAAGGCGGGUCUCUGGGCCUUUCCUGACGCUGAGGAGCGAAAGCGUGGGGAGCGAACAGGCUUAGAUACCCUGGUAGUCCACGCUGUAAACGGUGGGUACUAGGUGUGGGGUCCAUUCCACGGGUUCCGUGCCGUAGCUAACGCUUUAAGUACCCCGCCUGGGGAGUACGGCCGCAAGGCUAAAACUCAAAGGAAUUGACGGGGCCCCGCACAAGCGGCGGAGCAUGCGGAUUAAUUCGAUGCAACGCGUAGAACCUUACCUGGGUUUGACAUGGAUCGGGAGUGCUCAGAGAUGGGUGUGCCUCUUUUGGGGUCGGUUCACAGGUGGUGCAUGGCUGUCGUCAGCUCGUGUCGUGAGAUGUUGGGUUAAGUCCCGCAACGAGCGCAACCCUUGUUCACUGUUGCCAGCACGUUAUGGUGGGGACUCAGUGGAGACCGCCGGGGUCGACUCGGAGGAAGGUGGGGAUGACGUCAAGUCAUCAUGCCCCUUAUGUCCAGGGCUUCACGCAUGCUACAAUGGCUGGUACAGAGAGUGGCGAGCCUGUGAGGGUGAGCGAAUCUCGGAAAGCCGGUCUCGGUUCGGAUUGGGGUCUGCAACUCGACCUCAUGAAGUCGGAGUCGCUAGUAAUCGCAGAUCAGCAACGCUGCGGUGAAUACGUUCCCGGGGCU